AUGUCCUGGUCUUCGGGUGGUUCGAGUGCUCCCGGCUUCCGUCAAGCCGCAGGAAGGAGAGGGGAGGAAUCGAGGUCGCCGGUGCCGUGCCGCGAGAACCCGAUGGCGUACGAGCCAGCGAAGCUCUGCUGGUGCAACCCCCGUCGGAAGGCGCCAAGGUGGAUCUCGUGGAGCCGUCAGAACCCAGGCAGGAGGUACUACGCCUGCGUCGAUGCCAUGGUGAGCUUGAAGUUUAUUUUCUGCUCAUUUGUUUUUCUCCCCUCGCAUUGA
rnacentral:rRNA from 1 species